rnacentral:rRNA from 1 species
CUACGGGAUGCUCCAGUGGGGAAUAUUGCACAAUGGGCGCAAGCCUGAUGCAGCCAUGCCGCGUGUAUGAAGAAGGCCUUCGGGUUGUAAAGUACUUUCAGCGGGGAGGAAGGGAGUAAAGUUAAUACCUUUGCUCAUUGACGUUACCCGCAGAAGAAGCACCGGCUAACUCCGUGCCAGCAGCCGCGGUAAUACGGAGGGUGCAAGCGUUAAUCGGAAUUACUGGGCGUAAAGCGCACGCAGGCGGUUUGUUAAGUCAGAUGUGAAAUCCCCGGGCUCAACCUGGGAACUGCAUAUGAUACUAGCAGGCUAGAGUCUCGUAGAGGGGGGUAGAAUUCCAGGUGUAGCGGUGAAAUGCGUAGAGAUCUGGAGGAAUACCGGUGGCGAAGGCGGCCCCCUGGACGAAGACUGACGCUCAGGUGCGAAAGCGUGGGGAGCAAACAGGAUUAGAUACCCGAGUAGUC